rnacentral:rRNA from 1 species
GACAGAGGUGCCAAGCGUUAGGCGGAAUCACUGGGCUUAAAGCGUGUGUAGGCGGGUCGUUAAGUACCUUGUGAAAUCCCACGGCUCAACCGUGGAACUGCUUGGUAUACUGGCGAUCUUGAGCCAGCUAGGGGCUACCGAAACAAACGGUGGAGCGGUGAAAUGCGUAGAUAUCGUUUGGAACGCCAAUGGUGAAAACAGGUAGCUGGGGCUGUGCUGACGCUGAGACACGAAAGCCAGGGGAGCGAACGGG